rnacentral:rRNA from 1 species
UAGUUAACGUUGGCGGCGUGCCUAACACAUGCAAGUCGAACGCGUCCUAAGGGCAACUUUAGGAUGAGUGGCGAACGGGUGAGUAUCACGUGGGUAAUCUUCCUUUAAGUGGGGAAUAAGCUCUCGAAAGGGAGUCUAAUACCGCAUGACAUUCCGGGACACAAGUCCCGUAAUCAAAGCCGCAAGGCGCUUGAAGAUGAGCCUGCGUCCUAUUAGCUAGUUGGUGGGGUAACGGCCUACCAAGGCUCAGAUGGGUAGCCGGCCUGAGAGGGUGAACGGCCACACUGGGACUGAGACACGGCCCAGACUCCUACGGGAGGCAGCAGUGAGGAAUUUUGCGCAAUGGGGGAAACCCUGACGCAGCGACGCCGCGUGGAGGAUGAAGGCC